AGAGUUUGAUCCUGGCUCAGGAUGAACGCUGGCGGCGUGGAUAAGGCAUGCAAGUCGCGCGGACACGAUUUGAGAUUACAUCAAUAAUUGCGUUAGCGGCAAACGGGGUAGUAAUAGGCAGGUAGAUUCCUCUAAGACGGGUAUAAUUCGCCGAAAGGCGGACUAAUUCCCGAUAGUUCCCGCAAGGGUAAACGGAGCAAUCCGCUUGGAGAUUCGCCUGCUCGCUAUCAGCUAGUUGGCAGGGUAACGGCCUACCAAGGCGAUGACGGCUAGGGGGAGUGAGAGCUUGUUCCCCACCAGGGACACUGCGACACGGGUCCCACACCUACGGGUGGCAGCAGCCGAGAAUAUUGGACAAUGGGCGAAAGCCUGAUCCAGCGACGCCGCGUGGAGGAUGAAAUCCCUCGGGAUGUAAACUCCUUUUCUCCGGGAUAAAGUCUGGUCCGCAAGGGCCGGAUUGAUAGUACUGGAGGAAUAAGGGCCUGCUAACCUCGUGCCAGCAGCAGCGGUAAUACGAGGGGCCCGAGCGUUAUCCGGAAUCACUGGGCGUAAAGCGCUGUUAGGAGGUUUUGUUAGUCUUGUUUUAAAUCCUUCCGCUCAACGGAGGGGCUGGACAGGAUACGGCAAAACUUUGAGGACGCGAGAGGUUGAUGGAACUCUAGGUGUAGGGGUGAAAUCCAUUGAUAUCUAGGGGAACGCCGAAAGCGAAAGCAAUCAACUGGCGCGCUUCCAGACUCUGACCAGCGAAAGCGUGGGCAUAAAAAAGGAUUGGUUUAGAUACCCAUUAGGGUAUAAUAAAACAACUAGUCCCUUAGUGAAUAAAUUCACUAAGCAAACUUGGCUAUAUCGGUAAAAACCCUUUUAUUUAAAGGACGAUACCGAGGGAAGUCUACAAAAAUUUAAAAAUCAAAAAUAAAAAAUUAAAAUGAUAAAUUAAAAUUUAAAAUUAUUGCGAAAGCGAUACUAAAAUUUUACAUUUUAAUAUUUGAUUUUUAAUUUUAUAUGACCCCGUAGAGACUAUACGCCGAGAUACCAUUUAUUGGUAUAUGAUAUAGUCCGAUCUUCAUAGUAAUGUGAAGAGUUAGACAGAAAUGUUCUAACCAUUAUUGAGAACAAUAAUAAGCAACAAAAUGUAGAUACCCUUGUAUUCCACGCCCUAAACGAUGCAGACUAGCUAUUUGAAGUAUCGACCCUUCGAGUGGCGAAGCUAACGCGUUAAGUCUGCCGCCUGGGAAGUACGGCCGCAAGGCUAAAACUCA
rnacentral:rRNA from 1 species